rnacentral:rRNA from 1 species
AGUGAACCGGGAAGAGCUCAAAUUUGAAAUCUGGCGUCCUCAGGGCGUCCGAGUUGUAAUCUAUAGAGGCGUUUUCCGUGCCGGACCGUGUCCAAGUUCCUUGGAACAGGAUAUCAAAGAGGGUGACAAUCCCGUACUUGACACGACGACCGGUGCUCUGUGAUACGUCUUCUACGAGUCGAGUUGUUUGGGAAUGCAGCUCAAAAUGGGUGGUGAGUUCCAUCUAAAGCUAAAUAUUGGCGAGAGACCGAUAGCGAACAAGUACCGUGAGGGAAAGAUGAAAAGCACUUUGGAAAGAGAGUUAAACAGUACGUGAAAUUGUUGAAAGGGAAACGAUUGAAGUCAGUCGUGUCCGAUAGGCUCAGCCGGUUCUGCCGGUGUAUUCCCCUCGGACGGGUCAACAUCAGUUUUGUCCGGUGGAUAAGGGCGGUAGGAAGGUGGCACCCUCGGGUGUGUUAUAGCCUGCCGUCGCAUACAUCGGGUGAGACUGAGGAACGCAGCUCGCCUUUAUGGCCGGGGUUCGCCCACGUCCGAGCUUAGGAUGUUGACAUAAUGGCUUUAAACGACCCGUCUUG